UUGCGAUUGGCAUCCCGUAAGCAGUACCUUUCACUGGUCUCCAUAUGUGACCGGGUGCAUUGCUGCCGGCAGUGCACUUACAAGACUGGGCACAAGAAGCACAUGAACCAACACCUGCGCAGACACACAGGUGAGCGCCCCUUCAAAUGCCAACUGUGCCCGGAAGCAUUCACUCAGAGGAACAGCCUGACACGUCAUCUGCGCACCCACACUGGAGAGCGUUCCUUUCCUUGCAUCUGCUGCAGUGCAUCCUUUUCACGGAAAGAACACCUCAAGCGACACAUGUCCUGUCACUCGGUGGAGAAGGCCUAAAGACUAGACUAUUGCACCAGCUGAAAUGCUCUCACGCUGUUCAUAAGCUGAAAUGCAUGGCUCAGCUGAGUUGGUUCUCAAGCUUUAAACAUCCAGUCUCAUACUUUUGGUUGGGCAUCAGCAAACCCCAACACACUGGUCGGCACUCGCACACCAAGGCAACAACAUGAGAAAAUUCCUUGCUAUCGGAAUCCCCGGAGCAGUACCUUUCACUCGUGUCCGUAUGUGGCCAGGUGCAUUCCUGCCGGCAGUGCACUUACAAGACUAAGCGCAAGAAGCACAUGACCCAAC